UACCUAAUAUGUUGUCACCACUUACCUGAUAGGUUGGCAUCACUUACCUGAUCUGAUAGGUUGUCACCACUUAUCUGAUCUGAUAGGUUGUCACCACUUACCUGAUCUGAUAGGUUGUCACCACUUACCUGAUAGGUUGGCAUCACUUACCUGAUCUGAUAUGAUGUCACCACUUACCUGAUAGGUUGUCACAACUUACCUGAUAGGUUGGCAUCACUUACCUGAUCUGAGAUGUUGUCACCACUUACCUGAUAGGUUGUCACAACUUACCUGAUAGGUUGGCACCACUUACCUGAUAGGUUGGCACCACUUACCUGAUAGCUAGGUUGUCACCACUUACCUGAUAGGUUGGCACCACUUACCUGAUAGAUUGGCACCACUUACCUGAUAGCUAGGUUGGCACCACUUACCUGAUAGGUUGUCACAACUUACCUGAUAGGUUGUCACCACUUACCUGAUAGGUUGUCACCACUUACCUGAUAGGUUGGCACCACUUACUUGAUAGCUAGGUUGGCACCACCUACCUGAUAGCUAGGUUGGCACCACUUACAUUGUUGAGACAUGUAAAUAAUUCUCCGCCGACACAGGCAUGCCAUUUCGAUUUAUAUGUAAAAAAUAAUUUUUGCUUUUAGAUUUUACAACUUUUCCUUAGAAAAUAGCUGUCAGUUUAAAAAAGAAAAUGUUGUUUCUUUCCACUCUGUUUCAUUGAAUACAAAAAAUUGAAAAGAAAUGUUUUACUUGAUUUUCGCUAAUUUUAAGUGGUAAUUAUUUUUCCAUGUUUGUCUUUAAUAUAUUUACCCACAUGUCAUCCUGCUUUGUGAAAGUAUAGCUGGGAGUGGUCAGCAUCAUUGCUGUGUUGGGUAGAUACAUAGAAUAAAGCUGUAACAGUAAAAUUGACAGAAGUUUGUGUACUUCUGACGGAGUAUGAUUGUGUACUUUAUGAGCAAGUAUGCUUGUUAACUUCUGACGGAGUAUGAUUGUGUACUUUAUGAGCAAGUAUGCUUGUUAACUUCUGAGGGAAUAUGAUUGGGGCUUAGAAGAAAUUAACAAAACUAAAUAGUAUGAAGCUGAAUGUGUCUUCAGACCUGGAGCUGAAGAUAUCUUUUGACUAAAAAGUCUGAAACUGUAUGUGUCUUCAGACCUGGAGCUGAAGGUAUCUUUUGACUAAAUAGUCUGAAGCUGUAUGUGUCUUCUGACUGGAGCUGAAGGUAUCUUUUGACUAAAUAGUCUGAAACUGUAUGAAUCUUCAGACCUGGAGCUGAAGGUAUCUUUUGACUAAAUAGUCUGAAGCUGUAUGUGUCUUCAGACUGGAGUUGAAGAUAUUUUUUGACUAAAUAGUAUGAAGCUGUAUGUGUCUUCCGACCUGGAGCUGAAGGUAUCUUUUGACUCAAUAGUCUGAAGCUGUAUGUGUCUUUAGACUGGAGCUGAAGAUAUCUUUUGACUAAAUAGUAUGAAGCUGUAUGUGUCUUCAGACCUGGAGCUGAAGGUAUCUUUUGACUAAAUAGUCUGAAGUUGUAUGUGUCUUCAGACUGGAGCUGAAGGAGUCUUUUGACUAAAUAGUCUGAAGCUGUAUGUGUCUUCAGACUGGAGUUGAAGAUAUCUUUUGACUAAAUAGUAUGAAGCUGUAUGUGUCUUCAGACCUGGAGCUGAAGGUAUCUUUUGACUCAAUAGUCUGAAGCUGUAUGUGUCUUUAGACUGGAGCUGAAGAUAUCUUUUGACUAAAUAGUAUGAAGCUGAAUGUGUCUUCAGACCUGGAGCUGAAGGUAUCUUUUGACUAAAUAGUCUGAAGUUGUAUGUGUCUUCUGACUGGAGCUGAAUGAGUCUUUUGACUAAAUAGUCUGAAGCUGUAUGUGUCUUCUGACUGGAGUUGAAGAUAUCUUUUGACUAAAUAGUCUAAAGCUGAAUGUGUCUUUAGACCUGGAGCUGAGGUAUCUUUUGACUAAAUAGUCUGAAACUGAAUGUGUCUUCUGACUGGAGCUGAAGGUAUCUUUUGACUAAAUAGUCUGAAACUGAAUGUGUCUUCUGACUGGAGCUGAAGGUAUCUUUUGACUAAAUAGUAUGAAGCUGUAUGUGUCUUCUGACUGGAGUUGAAGAUAUCUUUUGACUAAAUAGUCUGAAGUUGUAUGUGUCUUCAGACUGGAGCUUAAGGUAUCUUUUGACUAAAUAGUCUGAAGUUGUAUGUGUCUUCUGACUGAAGCUGAAGGAAUCUUUUGACUAAAUAGUAUGAAGCUGAAUGUGUCUUCAGACCUGGAGCUGAAGGUAUCUUUUGACUAAAUAGUCUGAAGCUGUAUGUGUCUUCUGACUGGAGUUGAAGAUAUCUUUUGACUAAAUAGUAUGAAGCUGAAUGUGUCUUCAGACCUGGAGCUGAAGGUAUCUUUUGACUAAAUAGUCUGAAGCUGUAUGUGUCUUCUGACUGGAGUUGAAGAUAUCUUUUGACUAAAUAGUAUGAAGCUGAAUGUGUCUUCAGACCUGGAGCUGAAGGUAUCUUUUGACUAAAUAGUCUGAAGCUGUAUGUGUCUUCUGACUGGAGUUGAAGAUAUCUUUUGACUAAAUAGUAUGAAGCUGAAUGUGUCUUCAGACCUGGAGCUGAAGGUAUCUUUUGACUAAAUAGUCUGAAGCUGUAUGUGUCUUCUGACUGGAGUUGAAGAUAUCUUUUGACUAAAUAGUCUAAAGCUGAAUGUGUCUUCAGACCUGGAGCUGAAGGAAUCUGUUGACACGAUUGUGAUUUGUCGGCUCAUGAAGCCUAUUUAUUUGUUGUUUUUGUUUUUCGAUUUUUUCAUGGAAUAAAAACUUUCGUGAUUUUAAAUUUAUUAUGAAUUGUGCACCAUGGGAUGAUUUUAGUCUUUCCUAUUGCCCUUAAUCGUGAAAAAUGUAAAUUGAAUAUCGAAUAAUGUUUGACAACUUUUAGAAAUAGAUACACUGUUCAGUUGUAGGUAUGAGGUAGAUAAGUGUACACAAUUUUAGUGUAGUGGUCCAACAUACUGGAUUGAUCCAGACUGAAGAUACAACUCAAGAUCUCUUGUUUAACUCGUUGUCCUUCGUGAGAUAUACAAGGCAGGGUAUUGUCAUAAUUUCAGUUUGUGAUAAGAGUAUUUCAUUUAGGUUAAGAUGAUUUUUGUAAACAAUUACGUUAAAUUUAAAAGUGAUUUGAUCAAGAUCGUUUGAGAGAUUAAAAUCUAUUCUAGACUCAUUUGUUGAACUUGAAUUUCUCCUUUAUUGCCAUAGAUAUGUAACUGUGACCUUAUGAGAAAUUAGUGUUAUGCUGAUAUGGAAGAAGUGUGAGGAUUUACAUUAAAAAUAAAUUGGAAAAAAAAAAUGAAACACUCCUCGGACAUUGUCAAUGUCUUUGAAGGGUGAGAGGGGCUGUUUUAUCAUCUCCAGGUAAUGACACAAGAAAUGAGUCCUAUUUAUUGAUGAUUACUGAAUCUUAAUGGGGUGGUUUAAUGGAAUAGUUGCAGUAAAAUUGAUAGUUCUGCUAAUAUGUAUUAGCUAUAUAUAUCAUUGUUUGGUAUUUUUCCUGAUUUAAGAGUGAGCGCUGAACUGUUAUAAAGGUUAAGUUUAUAUUUGUAGUCCGCUGCUGUAACUUACUGAGCAGCUCUGCCUUAUGAUCCUCUCAUUCUAGGCAUGUGCGAGUAAACAUGUCAAUCAGCCUUACCAAGAAUGUGUGUAACUCUAUUUGGUGAGAUGUGUAUAACUGUGUAUCAUUGUGUCUCUGUGACAAAACUUUGGUAGGGUGUGAACGCUUGUUGAUACAAAUAUUCUGUCUAUGUCAUUGGUCGGUUUAUGGGAGCUUACAAAUUGGCCGUGAAUGUAAAAACUGGAUUAAUAUUGUAGUGAAUUAAGUAGUGUUAGGAUAACUAAGUGUUUUUAGAGUGUUGAAAUAUUAGAUGAUAUCAAAUUUGGGUUUCUGAUCAGAUGAUAUCAAAUUUGAGUUUCUGAUCAGAUGAUAUCAAAUUUGAAUUUCUGACCAGAUGAUAUCAAAUUUGAAUUUCUGACCAGAUGAUAUCAAAUUUGAGAUUUUGACCAGAUGAUAUGGAAUUUGAGUUUCUGACCAGAUGAUAUCAAAUUUGAGUUUCUGAUCAGAUGAUAUCGAGUUUGAGUUUCUGACCAGAUGAUAUCAAAUUUGAGUUUCUGUUCAGAUGAUAUCGAAUUUGAGUUUCUGACCAGAUCUGGUGUUGAAUGUAACUCACAAUUUUUGCUUUCAAUGAAAGUGAAAAAUGUGAGUUACAUGAAAUUCAUGUACAUUUUAUGUAUCUGUGUAACGCUUUGGAUCUAAGUAGUUAUUAGAGUGAUUAAUUGGACAUAUUACCAUUAAAAACUGUAAAUUUCACCCAUUGAUCUUAUACUUUUUAAUACAUAGAUAUAUUUUUCUUAUUCAAGACUAGACUUUUGAAAUAAAAUCCACAUCCAUUAAACAUGCAAA